CUGACAUGUCACAAUAGUUAGUGUUUAAAUGAUGCAAAUAAUUAGUGGGGUUAGUGCCCUGCUUUUCGUUGUAUGCAGAAUGUGUGUGGGAAUCAUGCACCGAUUAAUUCUGCCAUUAUUUCCAUUUCGUUGUAACAGUUAUUUUUAUUCAUUCGUUGGUUGGCUAUAAAAAGUCAACUGAAGUGUAAUAGAGGAUAUGAAUUAAUUAUGCAAAACUCUCUUCUCUGUU
rnacentral:lncRNA from 1 species